rnacentral:rRNA from 1 species
UCGGGAAUUUUGGGCAAUGGGCGAAAGCCUGACCCAGCAACGCCGCGUGAAGGAUGAAAUCCCUCGGGAUGUAAACUUCGCAAGAACGGGAAGAAUAAGUAGGGGACAAUACCCCCUAUGAUGACGGUACCGUUUGUAAGCUCCGGCUAACUCCGUGCCAGCAGCCGCGGUAAUACGGGGGGAGCAAGCGUUGUUCGGAUUUACUGGGCGUAAAGGGCGCGUAGGCGGCCUCCGCAAGUCAAUUGUGAAAUCUCCGGGCUUAACUCGGAAAGGUCAACUGAUACUGCGGGGCUAGAGUGCGGAAGGGGCAACUGGAAUUCUUGGUGUAGCGGUGAAAUGCGUAGAUAUCAAGAGGAACACCUGCGGCGAAGGCGGGUUGCUGGGCCGACACUGACGCUGAGGCGCGAAAGCUAGGGGAGCGAACGGGAUUAGAUACCCCGGUAGUCCUAGCCUUAAACGAUGAAUGCUUGGUGUCUGGGGUUAUAUAGUCCCCGGGUGCCGUCGCUAACGCUUUAAGCAUUCCGCCUGGGG